ensembl:lncRNA
UAUAUACAGGGGGUACCGGUACUGAGUCAGUGUGGAGGUUAUAUACAGGGGGUACCAGUACUGAGUCAGUGUGGAGGCUAUAUACAGGGGGUACCAGUACUGAGUCAAUGUGGAGGUUAUAUACAGGGGGUACCGGUACUGAGUCAGUGUGGAGGCUAUAUACAGGGGGUACCGGUACAGAGUCAGUGUGGAGGCUAUAUACAGGGGGUACCGGUACAGAGUCAGUGUGGAGGUUAUAUACAGGGGGUACCAGUACUGAGUCAGUGUGGAGGUUAUAUACAGGGGGUACCGGUACUGAGUCAAUGUGGAGGUUAUAUACAGGGGGUACCGGUACUGAGUCAGUGUGGAGGCUAUAUACAGGGGGUACCAGUACUGAGUCAGUGUGGAGGCUAUAUACAGGGGGUACCAGUACUGAGUCAGUGUGGAGGCUAUAUACAGGGGGUACCGGUACUGAGUCAGUGUGGAGGCUAUAUACAGGGGGUACCAGUACUGAGUCAGUGUGGAGGCUAUAUACAGGGGGUACCAGUACUGAGUCAGUGUGGAGGCUAUAUACAGGGGGUACCAGUACUGAGUCAGUGUGGAGGCUAUAUACAUGGGGUACCAGUACUGAGUCAGCGUGCUGGGGUACAGGUCAUUUAUACAUGUAGGUAGGGGUGAAGUGACUAUGUAAUACACAUAGGGAAUAGGGUGCCAUUGGGCCCUGAUCUAAAGUAGUACACUAUAUAGAGAAUAGGGUGUAAUUUCACACACAGCCUCUGUCAGGUGUGUCAGCGUUUACUGCUAACCUGACCCCAUAACAACCCAAGCCUGGUCUCUGCUAACCUGACCCCAUAACAACCCA